AAGUCCUCUGAAGAGGAGUCACUUGAACAAAGAUCUCAAUGAAGUGAGGAGGCCAACCAUGAGGAAAUCUAUGGAAGAAUAUUCCAGAUAAGCAAAAAAAUAAGCACACCACUUCAGAGAUGAGCACUCACUCCCAGAGAAGCCAGCUGCCAUGUUGUGAAGGCACUAAAACAGCCUAUGCAGAGGUCCACAUGUUGAAGGACUGAGGCGUUCAGCCAACAGCCAACAAGGAACCGAGGUCUGGCGGUGACAACACGAGAGAGAUUGGAAGCAGAUCCUCUAGCCCCAGUCAAGCCAUCAGUCGCCUGCAGCCCUAGCUGACAACUUGACUGUAACCUCAUGGGAAACUCUGAGCCAAACCACCAAGCUCUGCCUAGAUUCCUGACCCACAAAAACAGCUUAUUUCCCACUUCCCUGAAAGAAAGCUUGAGCUAAACUCAUGUGAGGCAGAAGAGUGAACUAAAACAGCUCAGGCUCUGAAGCCCCUUUGAUUUGCCUUCAAAUCCAAACCCUGCUACUUCCGGCUAUGAAACUGUGGCUAAGUUACUUAAUCUGAGCUCAGUUUACCUUUUUGCAAAAUGGGAA